UACGUAGGUGGCAAGCGUUGUCCGGAAUUAUUGGGCGUAAAGCGCGCGCAGGCGGUCCUUUAAGUCUGAUGUGAAAGCCCACGGCUCAACCGUGGAGGGUCAUUGGAAACUGGGGGACUUGAGUGCAGGAGAGAAGAGUGGAAUUCCACGUGUAGCGGUGAAAUGCGUAGAGAUGUGGAGGAACACCAGUGGCGAAAGCGGCUUCCUGGUCCAGUACCGACGUCAGGCACGAAAGCGUGGGGAGCAAACAGG
rnacentral:rRNA from 1 species